AGGUAGAUAUGCUGGAAACUUUUUCGGAGAGUGUCAUGAAGUUUUUGGGGAUGAAAUAUUUGAUGGAUGGUAGGAGUCUUGUAGGCACUCCUAACUUGAUUGCACCUGAAGUCCUCCAUUGUAUAAAUGGACAUUCAUUUGAAG
rnacentral:ribozyme from 1 species